CUUCUCGGCCUUAUGGCUAAGAUCAAAGUGUAGUAUCUGUUCUUAUCAGCUUAACAUCUGAUAGUUUCUCCAUUGGAGAACAACAAAUGUUAAACUGAUUUUUGGAAUCAGACGGAGUGCUAGGGGCUUGCUCCACCUCUGUCACGGGUUGGCCCGGUAUUGCAGUACCGCCGGGAUUUCGGCCCAACUAAACAAUAAAUUUAACAAGUAGCUCAAGAAGGAUUUGUAAGAAAAUCCGGUUCGGUCUGCGUCUCUGAUGUUUCCGUUUCCAAUAUUCUGUAAAUAUGAACGGAGGAGGAGUGAGUGUAGCGGGUUGUUGAGUCGUCGUACCGCCCGCUCGACCUUUCGCUCGGCUUUGCUGUUUUCCGGUACCCCGGGGACUCGAAGUUUCUUUCCGAAUGUGUGUUGGAUUUCGUUUCCGCUUUUUGGUACAUUUAAAUCGGUUUUAAUACAAAGUUGUCCGGAGCGCUCACUUCUUAAGGGCGCCUUCAAGAUUUCUGGCCAUAAUACGCAAGUAAUUAAUAAUAUGUUAUGAUAAACAGUUUGAAAGUAAAAAACAAUAACGAUAUCGAGUCGAGUCGAGAAAUGUUCAGCAAUUACGAUACGUUGAUACAUUUUGCCAUACGACGACUAUAUUUGGUUUUCGGUGUUUGGUUUCGCUUUUUGAAAGGAAAAUUUCAACUACGGAACAAUCUGGCUAGCUGGCUGUGUUGCUGCUCCUGGAUCCUGGCUAACUACUACUACUAAGUUUAGUAUGUAUUACUGGUGAAUAGCUGCGCUAUGUUUUCUCUACCGAUAACGUGUCAACCGGAACGAACAAUGAUGCGCUUUUUCUUUUUUUUUUCUUUAGUGAGAACCAACCACUACUACGUUCAAGUUAUUUGAAGAAGGAAGAGAUUUGUGAUGUGUGUAACGUAUACAAUGCAAUAGAUCUACAGUUAAAGAG